rnacentral:rRNA from 1 species
GAAGAACCUUACCUGGGCUUGACAUGUUCCCGACGGUCGUAGAGAUACGGCUUCCCUUCGGGGCGGGUUCACAGGUGGUGCAUGGUCGUCGUCAGCUCGUGUCGUGAGAUGUUGGGUUAAGUCCCGCAACGAGCGCAACCCUCGCCCCGUGUUGCCAGCGCAUUAUGCCGGGAACUCACGGGGGACCGCCGGGGUUAACUCGGAGGAAGGUGGGGAUGACGUCAGAUCAUCAUGCCCCUUACGUCCAGGGCUUCACGCAUGCUACAAUGGCCGGUACAACGGGAUGCGACGCGGCGACGCGGAGCGGAUCCCUGAAAACCGGUCUCAGUUCGGAUCGCAGUCUGCAACUUGACUGCGUGAA